GCCGGUGUGGCGAAAUCGCAGACGCAUCACACUUAAGAUGUGAUGUCCGCAAGGACGUGUGGGUUCAAGUCCCGCCACCGGCA
rnacentral:tRNA from 1 species